AAGACUAAUCGAACCAUCUAGUAGCUGGUUCCCUCCGAAGUUUCCCUCAGGAUAGCUGGAGCCCAUUACGAGUUCUAUCAGGUAAAGCCAAUGAUUAGAGGCAUUGGGGGCGCAACGCCCUCGACCUAUUCUCAAACUUUAAAUGGGCAAGAGGUCCGGGAUGCUUGAGUGAUCCCGGGCGGCGAACGGCGCGUUCAAAGUGGGCCAUUUUUGGUAAGCAGAACUGGCGAUGCGGGAUGAACCGAACGCCGCGCUAAGGUACCCAAGUGUCCGCUCAUCAGAGACCACAAAAGGCGUUGGUACCUCCAGACAGCAGGACGGUGGCCAUGGAAGUCGGAACCCGC
rnacentral:rRNA from 1 species